rnacentral:rRNA from 1 species
AUGAACGCUGGCGGCGUGCUUAGCACAUGCAAGUCGAACGAAGCACCUCUAAUCGAAGAUUGAGAAAGCUUGCUUUGAUUGAUUCACCUUGAGGUGACUGAGUGGCGGACGGGUGAGUAACGCGUGGGUAACCUACCCUAUACAGGGGGAUAACAGUUGGAAACGACUGCUAAUACCGCAUAAGCGCACAGGACCGCAUGGUCUAGUGUGAAAAACCCCGGUGGUAUAGGAUGGACCCGCGUCUGAUUAGCUAGUUGGUGAGGUAACGGCUCACCAAGGCGACGAUCAGUAGCCGACCUGAGAGGGUGACCGGCCACAUUGGGACUGAGACACGGCCCAAACUCCUACGGGAGGCAGCAGUGGGGAAUAUUGCACAAUGGGCGAAAGCCUGAUGCCAGCGACGCCGCGUGAACGAAGAAGUAUUUCGGUAUGUAAAGUUCUAUCAGCAGGGAAGAAAAAUGACGGUACCUGACUAAGAAGCUCCGGCUAAGUACGUGCCAGCAGCAGC